rnacentral:rRNA from 1 species
UAAGGAAUAUUGGUCAAUGGGCGAGAGCCUGAACCAGCCAUGCCGCGUGAAGGAAGACGGCCUUAUGGGUUGUAAACUUCUUUUAAGAGGGAAAAAACUGGGCUACGUGUAGCUCAUUGCUUGUACCUUUUGAAUAAGCAUCGGCUAACUCCGUGCCAGCAGCCGCGGUAAUACGGAGGAUGCGAGCGUUAUCCGGAUUCAUUGGGUUUAAAGGGUGCGCAGGCGGAUCAAUAAGUCAGUGGUGAAAUCCCAUAGCUUAACUAUGGAACUGCCAUUGAUACUGUUGGACUAGAGUAUGGAUGACGUAGGCGGAAUGCGACAUGUAGCGGUGAAAUGCUUAGAUAUGUCGCAGAACACCGAUUGCGAAGGCAGCUUACGAAGCCAUAACUGACGCUCAUGCACGAAAGUGUGGGGAGCAAACA